AGAGACAGCAGUCGCCGCGGGAAAACGGAGGGUGCAAGCGUUAAUCGGAAUUACUGGGCGUAAAGCGCACGCAGGCGGUCUGACAAGUCAGAUGUGAAAUCCCCGGGCUUAACCUGGGAACUGCAUUUGAAACUGUCAGGCUGGAGUCUUGUAGAGGGGGGUAGAAUUCCAGGUGUAGCGGUGAAAUGCGUAGAGAUCUGGAGGAAUACCGGUGGCGAAGGCGGCCCCCUGGACAAAGACUGACGCUCAGGUGCGAAAGCGUGGGGAGCAAACAGGAUUAGAUACCCCAGUAGUCCCUGUCUCUUAUAC
rnacentral:rRNA from 1 species